CUUGAUUGAAGUCCCCUGAUCUUUUACAUACAGGAACAUGCAUGCAUCUUCAAGAAAACUCAUUUGUCCAGAAUAGAUGAAAACCCAGAGGAGUUUCAAAGAUCCUGGAGUUUCCAGUCCUGUUGUCCUGUUCAUCCAUGCAGCUGUGACCAAGAGAAUUACCCAAAGCAUUUCCCAAUCCCUGAGUGGCCAGCUGUUGACUUUAAUGACUCUGGACGAGAGAGUGAAGCUGGUGACUUGGGCAAUUCUACCACAAUUAAUCCCAGUUGAUGCACAAGUCAAGACAUUUCCAGUACUAUCGCUGAUCCUCUUCAAAAAUGAAGGAUGAACAACAACAGUGAAGAUGUAUCAGUCAUCAAUAAGCAUUUGUAAAUGUCCUUCUAUGUUCUAAGCAAUGGAGAUUUAGAGACAAAAUCAAAACAACAAAAAUCCUGGAAAAGCUUAAAAAAUAUAUUAG
rnacentral:lncRNA from 1 species